UACGAAGGUCCCUAGCGUUGUUCGGAAUCAUUGGGCGUAAAGCGCACGUAGGUGGCUUUGCAAGUCAGGUGUGAAAGCCUCGGGCUUAACCCGAGAAGUGCACUUGAAACUGCUUAGCUUGAGUACGGGAGAGGUGAGUGGAAUUCCUGGUGUAGUGGUGAAAUACGUAGAUAUCUGGAGGAACACCGGUGGCGAAGGCGGCAUCCUGGACCAAUAUUGACGCUGAGGAGCGAAAGCCAGGGGAGCAAACGGG
rnacentral:rRNA from 1 species